AGGUGUAAGGAGCCCGGGGAAGCCACAGGUCUUGGACACCGGGAUGGAGGGUCUGCCUGUCCUGGCCGCGGUGUUUUAGAGUGAUGCUGCACAAGGUGUCUGCAGUGGUUCGUUCUGAAAAGAUGACACACUUGCCCAGGACCGAUCAAUGUCCUCUGGUAAAACGUCCUGGGUGAAGCCCGAAGCUUACUCAAAGCCUGUGACCGAUGAACUACUUUCCAGCAGGUCUGGGACAGCUGACCCUUGAACAACAUGGGGGAUUAGGGGCGCCGACUCCCCAUACAGUCAAAAGUCCACGUAUAAUGUUUUUCUCCCCAAAAAUUUAACUACUAAUAGUCUACUGUUGACCAGAAGCCUGACUGACAACAUACAGUCAACAAACACAUAUUUUGUAUGUUAUACAUAUAUCACCUACUGCAUUCUCACACUAGAGUAAGCCAGAAAAAAGAAAAUGCUAUUAAGAAAAACAUAAGGAAGAGAAAAUACAUUUACCUUAUUUUUUGAAAUAAAUAAGUGGACUUGCACAGUUCAAAGCCGUGCUGUUCAAGGGUCAACUGUACUUCUCUUUCCACUAGCUGAGUUACACGCUUACCAAGAGUCAACCCUGACUGCCCAUAAAAUAGUUCAAAUCUGUUGGGAUUGCAACUGUCAAUACAUAUUUAACUAACAUAUUGACAAUUUCAUGGGAAAAUGAUAAACUUCAAAAAUAUAAUUACUAUUUCUUGGAAACCUAAGUUAAAUGCUUUGGAACAACUUGAUAAAGGUGAGUCAUUAAAAAAAAAAUCACUGUCAAAAUAGGGCAAUUAGCAAAGAUUUGGGAAAACAUUGGAAAAUGUAGGAUUUUUUUUUAGGACUUUAUUGGGGAAGAGU